rnacentral:misc_RNA from 1 species
GACCAUUAGCCGUAAUUGUAUAUGUAACCAGCUUUAGGGUACCGGGUACCUCGGUUUGGGUAUCAGUUUUCUCUGAGAGACGCGAGGAGAGCUGGCGCAUUCCACAUAAACUACUGUGGGCCACACGUCAAGAUGUCGCGCUACGAACAAAACAACUGCAAGGUGUACGUGGGCAACCUCAGUGACUAUGGAAAUGCCAAAGAGCUGGAGGCGGCUUUCGGUGUGUAUGGGCCUCUGAAGCACGUGUGGGUGGCCAAAAAGCCACCUGGCUUUGCCUUUGUGGAGUUUGAGGAGCCCCGAGACGCUUUGGACUCAGUGAAAGGCCUGAACGACACCGUGAUUUGUUCCCGCCGUGUGGAGGUUGAAAUGGCUACUGGGGAGAAGCGUGGCGGCCGAAACCGUGACCGUCGCAGCGGCGGGUACGGCGGCAAUUAUGGCAGCCGCUACCCCCCCCGCCGCUCGUACAACGAUGACAAAUGCUAUGAGUGUGGCAAGCCGGGCCACUUUGCCCGAGACUGCCCCUACAACAGGCGCCAGAGGUACUCGCGAUCCAGGACAUCUAAACUUCUAGCCCAUACACUUGUAGAUCGGGCAUAUCGGUUCCGGCAAGCUAGCUCAUUGCGGCCAAAUAUCGUGUGUCCGCUGGUCUCGAUUUGUACCCGCAAGUCCUGAACGUCAGGUCGUUGUGCCCGUCUAGUCCGAUUCUGUUUGCCAGCGAGCUUUCGGGUGACUGCUAGCUAUGCUUCCCCCCUUCUCUUCAGAUAUCGGCUACUUCGGCGCCACUUCCGACAAUAGCUUCACUUUUGCCCGCCAGCGUUUGUUGCUGCUGCAAAAUUCGUGAAACCACAAGUUGCGAUCAUCACUUUAUCCCUCUGCGAGUCUUAAGUCCCGGCUACUAGAUACUUUGUAAAUUGGCUUCAUUGAUUUGAAACCUGCCUUCUUCAAGGUACACAGUACUCCAACUACACUUCCGACAAUAGCUGCAUUUACCCUCCAAGCGUUUGCUUCUCCCGACCAAUUUGUGAAACCACAAGCUACAACCUCCAUUCUGUCCCCCCCCCCAAAAAAAAACUCCUAGAUAUUAACCAAGGCAACUACAAUCAAAAUCUUGCCACGUCAAGCUAAGGUAUCCUCCAACUACAUCUCCUACAGUCGCUGCACUUAAACCUGCGAGCGUUUUCUACUGCUGCAAAAUUUGUGAAGGCAGAAGUUACGACCUCCAUUUUUACCCUCCAACGAGUGCUUGUCCAAAACAUCCAGACACCUGUGAGCCAGUUAGCUACAGGCGAUCGAAAUCCCUGCGCCCUCACUUAAGCUACACAUCUUGACAGCAACCUUCAAACGUUGCAUGUUCGCACAAUCUACCCACAAGUUCUCCACAUCCCUUUCCACCGAGUACACGUACCGGGUACAUGCCCAUUGUCUUGCACCCCCCCUGCAAGCGACUUCAGCGGCAGUCGUUAAGUACUCCCAGCCAAAUUCACAAAGAAAAUUUGCCGUCCUCGUGGCCUGGUCAAAUCUACAUGAGCAUGUCGAGAUCGUAUGAUCGCUAUAACUCACGCAACAGGCGUUACUCACGUAGCCGAAGCCGCAGCCGCUCCAGGUCUUACCACAGCCCCUACC